GGCGGCAUGGCCAAGUGGUAAGGCGGGGGACUGCAAAUCCUUUAUCCCCGGUUCAAAUCCGGGUGUCGCCUGAUCAACCAA
rnacentral:tRNA from 1 species